rnacentral:misc_RNA from 1 species
AAAAAUACUAUCCAAACACUGAAGAAGAAGAGUUUGGGCAUUUUGCGAACUUUCACCUGGAACCACAAAACAAACAAGAAGAGAAACCCAAAUCAGAAACUUAGCGAAGUUAUUGAUUUUCUUGGUUUUGUAUAUACAAAAAGUUGAAUUUUUGGGUACCCAUUUGGCUGAAAUGGCUGUAAGAACACCUAUAACAGGGAUAACUAUGUCUUCAGCACCUUCAAUUUCAUCUUGUAAUAGGGUUGUUGUUGUAAAGGUGAUGCCUUUUAGAGCUUCUUUCUUUGGUCAAGGAGUGGGAGCUGUAAAACUUGCUGGGCUACAGCUUACUCAUUCUUAUAGAUCCAGGUGUAACAGUCAUGGUGGGGGUGCCCUUGGAGCUCGUAUGAAUCUAUUUGAUCGGUUUGCUAGAGUUGUCAAGUCAUAU